AGAGUCAACACACAUAUGAGAACGGU
rnacentral:piRNA from 1 species